UUUGGUAUAACUUUAUCCCAAUCUGGGCGUGUUAACAAUCCUUUAAAAAUCAUGCUACAUUACUUUGGAGGAAGAUACCUCCAGCUUAACGUGUUUAAUGUCAGAUAAUUGUAAUCUUUUAAAACAUUUUUCACUGCCUCUGAUUUUUAACACAGUGAGCAUCAGUCUAAUGUCAAUGUGAAUGCACAUUAACCAGGUAAUGGCUUUCUAAAGUGAUUCCUUCACAGAUAGCAAAUGGCAUAAUCCUGGAACUGUGUAUGAGAGGCAAAAGGGAAGCUGCGUGUGCUGCCAAUAUUUUAUGGAUUACCUCCCUCUUGUAAGUAGUGCCCACUCUUUUUUUUAUUAAAAAUUUUUAACGUGUAUUUAUUUUUGACAGAGAGAGAGACAGAGCAUGAGCAUGGGAGGGGUAGAGAGAGAGGGAGACACAGAAUCCGAAGCAGGUUACAGGCUCUGAGCUGUUAGCACAGAGCCCGACGUGGGGCUUGAGCUCACAGACCGUGAGAUCAUGACCUGAGCUGAAGUCAGAUGCCCAACCGACUGAGCCACCCAGGCACCUCAAGCAGUGUCCACUCUUUGAUUAACAAUUGCAAAUGACCCAACUGGAGAGAACACUCAAGAGAAUAAGCAAAGAGAACUGGAAAGCUAUGAAAAUGCAAUGCCUGGCUGAGCCCUGAGGGGCAUCCUAGGUUGGAUAUGUUGAUCACAAUGACCAUGAUAUUGUUGUACAGAGGCUGACACGGACACCAGGAAGGGGGGACAUUGAAGGCAGAUGAGAAAUGGAUGUGACUGCAUCCUAGAAACCUCCCAAAACACACUUUGGGUGUUGGUGGGGUUAUUUUGUGUGAAACUUGAUCUCAAUCUGUCUCACACUGAGCUAAGGAAAUAAGUAUAACAGGGAGUUUUCCUGUUUCUUGAUUUCUCCUAUAUCUGGGUUUACAGUUAGGUGGAAGACAACUUUAAAGUGAACACAGUAAGCUUCCCUAUGGUGGUGGUAUUCAGAAAGGAAGAAUGAAAGAAUAAGCUGGCCUGAAACAGUGCACACUAACAUGGUCAGGAGAACUUAGAACCCGUGUGAGCAUUUUUUACCCAGGGAAUGAAUGUAUUCCUGCUACUUUUCU
rnacentral:lncRNA from 1 species